AAGUCGUAACAAGGUUUCCGUAGGUGAACCUGCGGAAGGAUCAUUAAUGAAUUUUAGGACGUUCUUUUUAGAAGUCCGACCCUUUCAUUUUCUUACACCGUGCACACACUUCUUUUUUACACACACUUUUAACACCUUAGUAUAAGAAUGUACUAGUCUCUUAAUUGAGCAUAAAUAAAAACAAAACUUUCAGCAACGGAUCUCUUGGCUCUC
rnacentral:misc_RNA from 1 species